rnacentral:rRNA from 1 species
UACGGAGGGGGCUAGCGUUGUUCGGAAUUACUGGGCGUAAAGCGCACGUAGGCGGCUUUGUAAGUUAGAGGUGAAAGCCCGGGGCUCAACUCCGGAAUUGCCUUUAAGACUGCAUCGCUAGAAUUGUGGAGAGGUAAGUGGAAUUCCGAGUGUAGAGGUGAAAUUCGUAGAUAUUCGGAAGAACACCGGUGGCGAAGGCGGCUUACUGGACACAUACUGACGCUGAGGUGCGAAAGCGUGGGGAGCAAACAGG